GUCCAAAAAUAAGGAGAAACAAAUAUGAAAUUUAGGUUACUGAUAUAUUUUAAAUUUAAUAUUUCAUUUCUAUUUAAGGAAAAUAAAUGUUCAAUUUAUUACCUUCAUUUCAGUUGGAUCUAUAGUUCAAAAUGUGGCUAACGGUGUGAACGAUAUAGUUACUGAGGCUACUAGGGGAAUUCGCAGAACCAUUAAUGGUAAGUAACACUUUUAUAAGGAAUAGUUCUCAUUCAGCUGCAUGGGUUUUACAUUAAUAAUAUGCAUUAAUUGAUGUGUUAAAGAGUGAUUAAAAGCUUUGAAAUGCGUCAACAUUCAAUGUGUUUACAUAGUUUGAGAGCAUACUCUGUGCCCCGUUUUCAAAACUUUGGCCGUUUGCUUAAGCAAUUUUAAGAACUUUCAUUUAAAACAGUAAUCUAUACACUUUAGGUAUAAUAAAGUCAUAUUUAAGAGAAGUGAAACACGUUUCCAGUGUUAAAUGAAUCACUUUUGAAGU